ensembl:lncRNA
CGGGGAGGCCUGUUUACCAAUCAGAGCUAAGUUGAGGGAGAGACACAAUUAAGCCAACGUUGCACAAUUGCUCUAGCAUUUACAGUGCUGCUGGUUCCAUAUGGCAUCAAAAUGCAUGAAGACGUUAUCAUUAUAGGAUUCUAAUCUACAAUAUGCGUUUGGAAAAAAUGUAUUUACCACAGAUAUACUGUACUCUGUUCAGCGACUGCAAAAAUAUCAUUGCAACAUCAUAUGAGGAGACAAGGGGACAUUAGCCAGUGAAUGUCAGAGGCCUUUUGACGUUGUGCCACUGCCACCGAGGCAACAACCGAGCCAGGACAGCAUGAGAUCCGGAACAGGCGGAAGCAGCCAAAGCACAAAAGGACCAGCUGCUUCGAGAGCAUGGCUCAAGACAAGAAGAGAGAUCUUCAAAGACAGUUGGCUUAGUGUCAUGAUUAUACUGUAUUAAUGUUUUUCUGUCAAUGCAACUGAUUGGAAGUGGUUGACAUAUACCAGAGAAAGAGAUUUUAUGUAACAAAUGUUUUUCAAGUGGUGUUAUAGAGUUCCAUCCCCAGUAUUACAAUAACACUACAUGAGGUGUAAUUUAUGUUUUUGCAUAAUAUAAAAGGUGGGAUCAUACAUACACAUCCUGGCUUUAUGAACUAGAAGUAGCAUAAUAGAAUGGCUGUAAGCAGUAUGGACAUGGUUUGAAAGCUGUCACUGGGUUUAGAUUGCCUGGCAUAUUAAGUCAAGGUCAAAUAUGAAGCGCUUCAAUUUUUCCUGCUUAUUAGUCAGUCAACCAUAUAUGAUCAUCACUUGUUUGUUAAAUUAGCUGUAGCAUAGCAAUUGCCAUUCUGUUAGUUAUCAUUGCAGCAAGAUAGCUUUGCUUGCGUCUCUGCUGGUUUGAUUAUGGUAACAACAUUUCUUAAGCUAGCUAGCUGUCAUCACGAUACACUAACUACUAACCCUACGUUUCUGUGAUUUUCCUUACCACAACCAAACAGCGGUUAGUGGUCCCUUCUAUAUUUGAGCAAUCUUUGGGUGAAAAGUGAAUUGCAGCAUUGCAAAUCAAUGCAAUGUCAAUUUGGGGUAAAUCCAAGUAAUCAGCUAUCAACCAUUGAAGUAAACAGUUAGCUUUAUCAAUACUACUGCAAUUGCCGCCAUGGUAUAUAUUAUGAACGACUUCUACUGGUGUAACAUAGAACUGAAUACUGGAUUCAUUAGUUUGUUAUUGUCAAUAAUGUCAAGGUCACAUAAUCCACCUGUACCUCAGAAUGGACUAUGGGAUGGAGGCUGGGAGGAACAGA